rnacentral:rRNA from 1 species
AUGAACGCUGGCGGCGUGCCUCAUACCUGCAAGUCGAACGCUUCACUUCGGUGAAGAGUGGCGAACGGGUGAGUAAUACAUAAGUAACCUGGCAUCUACAGGGGGAUAACUGAUGGAAACGUCAGCUAAGACCGCAUAGGUGUAGAGAUCGCAUGAACUCUAUAUGAAAAGUGCUACGGGACUGGUAGAUGAUGGACUUAUGGCGCAUUAGCUUGUUGGUAGGGUAACGGCCUACCAAGGCGACGAUGCGUAGCCGACCUGAGAGGGUGACCGGCCACACUGGGACUGAGACACGGCCCAGACUCCUACGGGAGGCAGCAGUAGGGAAUUUUCGGCAAUGGGGGAAACCCUGACCGAGCAACGCCGCGUGAAGGAAGAAGUAAUUCGUUAUGUAAACUUCUGUCAUAGAGGAAGAACGGUGGAUAUAGGGAAUGAUAUCCAAGUGACGGUACUCUAUAAGAAAGCCACGGCUAACUACGUG